ensembl:lncRNA
AAAAAUAAAACUCAAAUUAAGUUUUAUUAAAAAAGCAAAAAAAAAAAAAAAAAAAACAGCAACAGUUGACCAAUGUGCUGUACAAUGUACUGGAAUAGAUUAUGAAAACAAUAAAACCCAACAUAAGACAUAAAAGAUGUAAAACAGGGGAUUAAAAAAAACCAAGCAAUAGAGAACAUCACAGGAGAAAAGAUACGUUCUGUUCCAAAGUUUAGGUGCGGCUACUGUGAAAGCUCGAUCACCUCUAGAUUUGAACACUAACACACAUGUAAGCUGUGGCUUAAAAAGUAUCUUACAUGUGCACUAUUUUAUAUUUAGUUUGAAAAAAGUUCAUAUAUUGCAUACAAUAUUACAUGGACUUUUAAUGAAUUGAAUUACAACGUAACAAUUAAUCUUAUAACACUCUUAGCAUAACAUUAUUAAGUAUAUCUCAAAAUGAAGAUCCUUGUCAACUGUUUUGUAUACCAUUGUUGUAGUAAGAAAACAUUCUUACAAGACGCUUAAAGGCGGAAAAAACAUACCCACACACCACCUACAGAUUCAGAAGCCAAAUGUCAUAAACCCUCAAUAAUGAAACAUCAUUCACACAUUUAAAAUGCUAAGUCUUGCAACCAUUAACUAGCCUUCAUUAGCUUCAAUAGACCCUCCAGCGUAUAAAAUCAGUCUCUAAGAGUUCAUGUCUGAAAGACUCAGCCUUUGAUUUUCUCUUUGAAAUCACAUUCUGCUGUAUUUGAAGAAACAACAACCAGGUUCUACAUGCUACUGAUUGCAACAGUUUGUCACCUAAUGCUUAUGACAGGGCUGCAUUUCAAAGCACGGUUCUGCACGGAUGUGGUAAGAUUCAGUUUGAAACAGGAAACACCCAGGUUCAUACUGCUCUCAUUAGUCCUUCAUCUGACUUCAAGCAAUAUCUAUCAGAAUGGAGAUGGACUGAGAGGCCUCGUUAAAGGUAUGAUUGACGUCCAAAGCCAACAAGGAGUUCUCCUUGCCAUCAUUUCUUUGACCUGCCUUGGUUGUGUUUAUGGUCUCUGUCUGUGCUGCAGAAAGAAAUCUUCUAUGCGACAAGAGGACAAUGACCUGUAUGACCAAGAUGAUUUCAAUCAGGACGGUAAAUUUACUGAUUGCAGAAAACCUACAACAGUCCUAAGACCAACCCAAAGAGCGAUGCCUUCAACAUCAAGGCUGUCAACGAUGAACAGGCUUGUCAAUACAGGUGACAUCCACUGGAGUUAUCAAAACCUUCCAGAUGUAAAAAAUGGCAUCAUGGAACCAACAUAUGUGGACCCAAUUCCAAAUUCAAUUUAUGCAAAUGAUGAUGACACAGAAGGAGAUCCAGGAACAUACGAGAAUAUUUUUCCAACAAAAAAAGUGCAACAUGACUCAGAUAGCUGUAAUUAUGUAAACUGGGACAUUGCAAAUGAGGAUGAUGAACCAGACUACGUGAAUGAUAUGACACAGUGAAAAGGAAUGAUAUAUAUUUUUUUUUGUAUCAGAAUUCCAAGACUUUUUUUGAUUUUCACAUUUUGAUCUUAGUGGCAUUUAAUGUUAUUUAAUUAAAGUGUUAAAAAGUGUACUACUUGACCUUUUGAAGUAGUCAAAUAAGAUUAAGUGUGGAUGUGCGUAGUCAUCUCUGCUGAUCAAUAAACAAUGAUUUAAUUAACCGUCA